rnacentral:rRNA from 1 species
AACGAACGCUGGCGGCAUGCUUAACACAUGCAAGUCGAACGAUCACUUCGGGGUUAGUGGCGCAGCUCUGGGUGCCGAGUGGGAAGUAGCACUUAGGUUAGGAGUCCCUGAGUGUGAUUUGACUUAAUAAAGCUUAGUGUCUUAGCACAAAAGAUUUCUCGCUGUUGGAUGGGGGCUGGUUGGUUUAGCUGGUUGGUGGUGUAAAGGCGGACCAACGCGACGAUGCAUAGCUGGUCUGAGAGGAUGAUCAGCCGCACUGGGAGUGAGACACGGCCCAGACUCCGACGCGAGGCAGCAGUAGGGAAUAUUGGACAAUGGGCGAAAGCCUGAUCCAGCAAUGCCGCGUGAGUGAGGAAGGCCUUAGUGUUGUAAAGCUCUUUUACCCGGGAUGAUAAUGACAGUACCGGGAAAAUAAGCCCCGGCUAACUCCGUG